UUGUUUUGGCAACACAUAUCCUAAAAUUAGAAUAAUACAGAGAAGCCUCUGCACAAGGAUGACAUGAAGGGGCUGGGUGAUGGUGCACCUGGCU
rnacentral:snRNA from 1 species